GUGGGGAAUUUUGGACAAUGGGCGCAAGCCUGAUCCAGCAAUGCCGCGUGCAGGAAGAAGGCCUUCGGGUUGUAAACUGCUUUUGUACGGAACGAAACGGUCCUGGCUAAUACCUGGGGCUAAUGACGGUACCGUAAGAAUAAGCACCGGCUAACUACGUGCCAGCAGCCGCGGUAAUACGUAGGGGGCGAGCGUUAAUCGGAAUUACUGGGCGUAAAGCGUGCGCAGGCGGUGCUGUAAGACAGGCGUGAAAGCCCCGGGCUCAACCUGGGAAUUGCGCUUGUGACUGCAGUGCUGGAGUGCGGCAGAGGGGGAUGGAAUUCCGCGUGUAGCAGUGAAAUGCGUAGAUAUGCGGAGGAACACCGAUGGCGAAGGCAAUCCCCUGGGCCUGCACUGACGCUCAUGCACGAAAGCGUGGGGAGCAAACAGGAUUAGAAACCCCUGUAGUCC
rnacentral:rRNA from 1 species